AGCGAACAGACGAGGAGCUUGCUCCUCUGACGUUAGCGGCGGACGGGUGAGUAACACGUGGAUAACCUACCUAUAAGACUGGGAUAACUUCGGGAAACCGGAGCUAAUACCGGAUAAUAUAUUGAACCGCAUGGUUCAAUAGUGAAAGACGGUUUUGCUGUCACUUAUAGAUGGAUCCGCGCCGCAUUAGCUAGUUGGUAAGGUAACGGCUUACCAAGGCAACGAUGCGUAGCCGACCUGAGAGGGUGAUCGGCCACACUGGAACUGAGACACGGUCCAGACUCCUACGGGAGGCAGCAGUAGGGAAUCUUCCGCAAUGGGCGAAAGCCUGACGGAGCAACGCCGCGUGAGUGAUGAAGGUCUUCGGAUCGUAAAACUCUGUUAUUAGGGAAGAACAAAUGUGUAAGUAACUAUGCACGUCUUGACGGUACCUAAUCAGAAAGCCACGGCUAACUACGUGCCAGCAGCCGCGGUAAUACGUAGGUGGCAAGCGUUAUCCGGAAUUAUUGGGCGUAAAGCGCGCGUAGGCGGUUUUUUAAGUCUGAUGUGAAAGCCCACGGCUCAACCGUGGAGGGUCAUUGGAAAC
rnacentral:rRNA from 1 species